rnacentral:rRNA from 1 species
UACGUAGGGUGCAAGCGUUAAUCGGAAUUACUGGGCGUAAAGCGUGCGCAGGCGGUUAUGCAAGACAGAUGUGAAAUCCCCGGGCUUAACCUGGGAACCGCAUUUGUGACUGCAUGGCUGGAGUGCGGCAGAGGGGGAUGGAAUUCCGCGUGUAGCAGUGAAAUGCGUAGAUAUGCGGAGGAACACCGAUGGCGAAGGCAAUCCCCUGGGCCUGCACUGACGCUCAGGCACGAAAGCGUGGGGAGCAAACAGG